UCACGUAGUUGAUCAGUGUGGUGCGUUCUAAUUCUGUUUCAGGAGGGUGACCGCUGGCAGUCCAGGAUGGUUCUUAUCCUGCAGGUCUCAGUUUGGAUACUAUCCCCCAAGAAGGCUGCUUGAUUAAUUUCCACACUUACCCAUCAAGGAAACGCACAAGAUGGAUACUUUCACUAAUGGCUUACCAUGAGGCUGAAUAGCUUGUGGGAACUGGAGG